CUGUCACACACACACGAACACUAAACGAUCAAAUAUGGCUUCAGCUUCAUCAUCGGCCGCGAGGUUACUCAUCCGCGACGGGAAAUCAGUGGCGAGUUUACUCUUCCGUGGACGUGCAGCAGCCAAUCUCACGGAGAACACUGGACCGGCCAUUCGGUCUCUGCUUCUGUUAAACCAGACGGUGGUGCCUAGUCAAUACCCGGUUUUCUCUGAAACAUUUCCGGUUACGCAACCCGGUUUGGGUUCCUGCUUCGUUCAGGAGGAGGCUGUUUCGGAGAGAAGAGGGAAAAUGGAAACGGGUCAGGGAAAGCGUGUGGUGAACAACGGGGGCAGCUCUUCCUCGGAGGAGGAGGAGACAGAUUUGAUGAGGAAGAGUUUGAUGAUAUUGAUAUGGACGAUGAUGUAGAGUUUGACGAAGAAGAAGAUGAGGAGGACGAGCAGAUAGUGAAGAAGAAGAAGUAAAAAGACUCUCAGUUCUUUGCAAAAUGCUUUAUCCGUUGCUUUUUCGUGAGAUUAAUGUAUUAGACUUAGACAUAAUUAAAUGUUUCUUGAUGAAAUAAAGAUUUCCGUUUUAAAAUAACGA